UUUUCAAAUAUUUUUUAAAUUCUUGUAAAUCAUUGAAAAUCUAUAUCCAGCAAAAACUUCUAGAAUCAUGUUCACGCCAAAAUUUUACAAGAUCAUUUUUCCUGUCAAAAAAAGGCAAAAAAGUUUGGGCAGGAAAUUUUUUUGUCAGAAAAUAUUUUGGCGAGAAUUUUUUUUGUCAGAAUUUGUUAUUGUCUGAUAUAGUUUGAGGGAAAAUUCAUUCACUCAUUUUGGACUUAAUUAUUUUUCAAGUAGGGGUAAUUGAUCACUAAAUAUUAAAAGAGGGCAUGAAUGAAAAUAGACUACAUAGGAUGGUAGUAUUGAAAAAGAAUGUCAAUAGAAGGGCAUUCCUUUGCGGAGGUCAUCCUAGAGAAGUUCUCUCUCAUACACGCUUUUCGAGGCGCUGUUAGUUUUUUUCUUAGAGAUAGUUUUUCUUCACAUGCGAAGUUCCUCCGGCUUGCCCCUCUCCUAAUCGACGACGGCUCUCACUCUUUCAGGUCAUUCUCAUCAGUUACCGGAGUUCAUUCCGGGGUGUUUUCCAGCUUUUCUCCGGAGUGCUUCCGCUUCUAGUGGUGUGGUUCUUUUUUCUGUUCAAAUGGCUCGAUCUCUGACUACGGCUUCUCUGCGACCUUCUCCUUCGUUUCCAAAGGAUCUCUGUGCUUUUUUAACUCUGAGGCGUCCACCGGCAUCGACUUUGUCAAUUAUUCCGCCUUCUCCACCAGAUCCGCUAGAACCUCCAGACCCUCUUGAUCCCUUGCUAGUACGGAAUUUCGCCGGUGUGGUCUCGUGGCCUUUGUUGAUUUGUUUCGUUUCCUCUCUGUCUCCGGCAAGUCAGAUUUCUAAAUUUUUAGAUCUGAGCUCAAUCCCUUUGGUGGCUUCGUUGAGUGCCUUAUCACCUAUCGUUGGGUCUUCUUGGGGUGCUCUUUUUGCCUUUAGGCACUCCCUUAUUGCAGUAUGCAGGCUAUAUUCCGGUUUUGAUCCAGCUCACGUCCCUACCAGGUUUGAUUCUGGGUUUUUAAGCUCUAUCUCUACAUUCUAUUUGAUUUGUUGGUUAGAUAAUGAAAUCAUUAGCCUUACUCGAUGUAUUUGUGUCCAUGUUUUGGUCACCCUUUCCUUUAUGAAUGUGAUGGUAGUAUAUAAGGCUUCUAUGGUUAGAUUGCCUUGGUUGUGGUUUGACAUUCUUUGUCAUGUUUACUCCUUUAUGCAUAUAUAUAUGUCCUCUCAAAUGCCCCUUUUGGUGGAAAGAUUUAUUGUAGGGAAGAAGAUCUUCUGCGGUGAAGCUAGGCUCACUUUCGCAUCUCUAUGUGAUAUGGAUUGGUGGUUCUCGAUCGUCAUUGAAGUUCCCCUUUUCGAUGGAAUUGUCUGUCGUAAUGUCGCAUUCGCAUUGCUAGCGAAAGAACGUAGCUUGAAGGCCUCCUUGGAAGCAAAGGAUGGUGCUAGAAUCGGUUGUCUUGGUUUAGUUGUUUCUCGGAUUAAGCUUGUUAGCUCCCCUCUAUCAUUAUUUCUCUCUUUGAGUUAUUGAUUUUGCUUAAGCUUUUUCAAUUGCUCGACUAACGUAUUAGUCGUUAGUUUGAUUUGUUUGGCUCUUAGUAGCCUUUUGUAUCCUCUUCUCAUAGAGACAAAACUCUUAUAGUUUGAAUGAAAUUCCAGUGAUCACCAAAACAAAGAAGGACAUUCCUAAUAGUUUCUCAAUAUACAAUAAGGAAGAUUGGAAAAGAAGGUGUUAUCUAACGAGCAAGGCCACCAUAAGUGUUGAAGUUAUAUAUUUGUAGAUUUACUUGUUCCUUUUAAACUUCUUGUUUUUGGAGAUUAUAAAUUUUAGUGGACUUAUUAUUCAGGUGAAAAGUGUCAUAUUCAUGGAAUUGAGAAAGCUCUGAUUCCUUACACACCAGUUGCAAAGGAGUGAGUCAUUUACCUCAUGAGAUGAUAUAUAUCU
rnacentral:sRNA from 1 species